GACGAACGCUGGCGGCGUGCUUAACACAUGCAAGUCGAGCGGAGCGGCGAACGGGUGAGUAACGCGGGAGUAACUGCCCCCCUCUCUGGGAUAACAGUUGAAAACGGCUGCUAAUACCGGAUAGUGGGGGAUGCCUCGCGUCCUAUCAGCUUGUUGGUGGGGUAGUGGCCUACCAAGGGGACGACGGGUAGCCGGCCUGAGAGGGCGACCGGCCACAUUGGGUUGCGAUACGGCCCAGACGCCGACGGGGGGCAGAAUUGGGGGAUAUGUAGCAAUGGGCGAAAGCCUGAUGCGGCGAGGCCGCGUGGGGGAUGAAGGCUUUCGGGUUGUAAACCUCUUUCGCUAUCGAACGGGUAGGUGGAGAAGAAGCGCCGGCUAACUACGUGCCAGCAGCCGCGGUAAUUC
rnacentral:rRNA from 1 species